rnacentral:rRNA from 1 species
GAAUAAGUUACAAAGGGAAGAGAGUGGAUGCCUUGACUUCUGUCUCCGAUGAAGGACGCGACAGGCUGCGAAAAGCCCCGGUGAGCGAGCCAAGUACGCUUUGAGCCGGGGAUGUCCGAAUGGGGAAACCCAAUCCGAGUCAUGUCGGAUUACUCUAGACGUAAGUCUAGAGAGGUUACACAGUGAACUGAAACAUCUUAGUAACUGUGGAAGAUAAAUCAACCGAGAUUCCCAAAGUAGUGGCGAGCGAAAUGGGAACAGCCCAAACCAGUGCUUCGGCAUUGGGGUUAUAGGACUCCGUUUAAGAUUCACAAACAUUAGCUGAACGAGCCUGGAAAGGACGGCCAUAGCGGGUGAUAGCCCCGUAAGCGAAAAUGCGAGUGACUGAGGAGUAUCCUGAGUAAGGUCGGACACGUGUAAUCCGGCCCGAAUUAGGGGGGACCACCCUCCAAGGCUAAAUAGGACAGAAGAUCGAUAGCGAACAAGUACCGUGAGGGAAAGGUGAAAAGUACCCCAGAUAGGGGGAUGAAAUAGAAUCUGAAACUCUCUUCUUAUAAAGAGUCACGGUCUCAUUUUUGGGAUUGUGGCGUACUUUUUGUAGAACGGACCAACGAGUUAGUAGUAUGAGGCAUUUAAGGUUAAGCCAGUUUACUAGGCGUAGCCGUAGCGAAAGCAAGUACGAAUAGUGCGAUAGUCUCAUAUUCUAGACCCGAAACGGGGUGAGCUACCCAUGGCCAGGAUGAACCCUGCUUAACCGCAGGGGGAGGUCCGAACACACUGGUAUUGCAAGACUGGGUGAUGAGCUGUGGGUAGAGGUGAAAUGCCUAUCGAACCCCGAGAUAGCUGGUUCUCUCCGAAAUAACUUUAGGGUUAGCGUCAAUAGUUUACACAGUGGGGGUAGAGCUCUUUUUCGGCUAGGGGGUGCAAUACACCUACCAAACCGAGAAAAACUUCGAAUACCAUUGUCAUAUAUUGGCAGUCAGACCAUGACAGCGAAGUGCCAUUGGUCGCGAGGGGAACAGCCCAGACCGCCUGCUAAGGUCCCUAAUAGAGAUUUAGUGGUAAAGGAUGUGAAAUUGCAUAGACAGCCAGGAGGUUGGCUUAGAAGCAGCCAUCCUUUAAAGAAAGCGUAACAGCUCACUGGUCGAUGCAAUUUUGCGCCGAAAAUAUAACGGGGCUUAAAUCUUUAACCGAAGCAGCGGAUUUUACGAUUUAUUUCGUAAAGUGGUAGGAGAGCGUUCUCAACGCACUGAAGCUCAAUUGCGAAGUUGGGUGGAGUGUUGAGAAGUGACGAUGUUGGUAUAAGUAACUUAAACCAGACGAAAACUCUGGUCACCGAAAAUCCAAGGUUUCCCACGCAACGUCGAUCGACGUGGGGUUAGUCGGGCCUUAGGUCACGACUGAGAAGUCGGACUGAUGGACAAUCCGUUAAUAUUCGGAUACAACCUUUGUUUCGCCCAAGCAAUAUCUUAGAUCUUCUAUAAUGAAUUCCCGAUUUAUCGGGAUGGAUUUUUAGUUAAUCGAAGGUGGCGCUAACUGGGGAAUGACGCAGCAGGAUUUUUGGAGCGUGUGUAAUGAAUGCACGUGCAAGUACUAAGUUUAUGACCUAAUAGGGAAAUCCGUUAGGUGUCACAAGGUACGACGCAAAAUGCUUCGGAGCAAUCCGGGGAGAUUCCAAACGGUUCAGCUGCCGAGAAAACUUUCACAGUGAGAAACAAGGGUUACCGUACCGCAAACCAACUCCGGUGGAUAGGUUGAGUAUACUAAGGUGCUCGGGUGAUACUCUCUUAAGGAACUCGGCAAUACAGCAGGUGUAACUACGGGAUAAACCUUGCCCCAUGAUUUAUUAUGGGGCCGCAGUUAAAGACGCCAGGCGACUGUUUAUCAAAAACACAGCUCUCUGCAAAACCGUAAGGUGAAGUAUAGGGGGCGUCGCUUGCCCAGUGCCAGAAGGUCACGAGGAGGGGUGCAAGCUCCGAAUCUAAGCCCUGGUGAACGGCGGCCGUAACUAUAACGGUCCUAAGGUAGCGAAAUUCCUUGUCGGGUAAGUUCCGACCCGCACGAAAAGCGGAACGGUCCGGCGACUGUCUCGAGAGAGUGCCCGGUGAAAUUACAGAGUCGGUAAAAACGCCGAUUAAUCAUGGAAGGACGAUAAGACCCUGUGCAGCUUUACUGUAGCCUGACAUUGAUUCGAGGUAUGUUUUGCGCAGGAUAGGUGGGAGCCUAUGAUGGCAUCGUUUCGGCGGUGCCUGAGGCAACGUUGAGAUACCACCCUGAACAUACUUUGCCUCUAACCCCGUGUAAAAAACGGGAGACAGUGUUUGGUGGGCAGUUUAACUGGGGCGGUUUCCUCCUAAAAAGUAACGGAGGAGCGCGAUGGUCAGCUUAGCCUGGAUGGAAAUCAGGCUGGACGUGUAUUCGCACAAGCUGGCUUAACUGCGAGACCAACGAGUCGAGCAGAUGCGAAAGCAGGCGAAAGUGAUCCGAUGCCACUACGUGGGUAGGGUAUCGCUCAACGGAUAAAAGUUACGCCGGGGAUAACAGGCUGAUCAGAUCCAAGAGUUCACAUCGACGAUCUGGUUUGGCACCUCGAUGUCGGCUCGUCGCAUCCUGGGGCUGGAGAAGGUCCCAAGGGUAUGGCUGUUCGCCAUUUAAAGCGGUACGCGAGCUGGGUUCAGAACGUCGUGAGACAGUUUGGCCUCUAUCCUCCAUGAUCGUAGGAAAUAUGCGAGAACCUGCCCCUAGUACGAGAGGACCGGGGUGGACGAACCUCUAGUGCACCAAUUGUCGUGUCAACGGCACUGUUGGGUAGCUAUGUUCGGACGUGAUAACCGCUGAAAGCAUCUAAGUGGGAAGCACAUCUCAAGAUAAUAUUUCCCCAUUAGCCUGCACCAAGACUAGGUGUUAAUAGGCCACAGGUGUAAGGCUCGCAAGAGUUUUAGCCGAGUGGUACUAAUAGGCAACUGACUUAUUUCA